AUUGAACGCUGGCGGCAUGCCUUACACAUGCAAGUCGAACGGCAGCACGGGGCAACCUGGUGGCGAGUGGCGAACGGGUGAGUAAUGCAUCGGAACGUGCCAUUGAGUGGGGGAUAACGUAGCGAAAGUUGCGCUAAUACCGCAUAUUCUGUGAGCAGGAAAGCAGGGGACCGCAAGGCCUUGCGCUCUUUGAGCGGCCGAUGUCAGAUUAGCUAGUUGGUGAGGUAACGGCUUACCAAGGCGACGAUCUGUAGCGGGUCUGAGAGGAUGAUCCGCCACACUGGAACUGAGACACGGUCCAGACUCCUACGGGAGGCAGCAGUGGGGAAUUUUGGACAAUGGGCGCAAGCCUGAUCCAGCCAAUGCCGCGUGAGUGAAGAAGGCCU
rnacentral:rRNA from 1 species